rnacentral:rRNA from 1 species
UACGGAGGGAGCUAGCGUUGUUCGGAAUUACUGGGCGUAAAGCGCACGUAGGCGGCUAUUCAAGUCGGGGGUGAAAGCCCGGGGCUCAGCCCCGGAACAGCCCUCGAAACUAGAUAGCUAGAAUCUUGGAGAGGCGAGUGGAAUUCCGAGUGUAGAGGUGAAAUUCGUAGAUAUUCGGAAGAACACCAGUGGCGAAGGCGACUCGCUGGACAAGUAUUGACGCUGAGGUGCGAAAGCGUGGGGAGCAAACAGG